GACGUAGGGUGCAAGCGUUGUCCGGAUUUAUUGGGCGUAAAGAGCUCGUAGGUGGUCUGUUGCGUCGGUAGUGAAAACCCGGAGCUCAACUCCGGGCCCGCUACCGAUACGGGCAGACUAGAGGUAGGUAGGGGAGAGUGGAAUUCCUGGUGUAGCGGUGAAAUGCGCAGAUAUCAGGAGGAACACCGGUGGCGAAGGCGGAUCUCUGGGCCUUACCUGACGCUGAGGCGCGAAAGCUAGGGGAGCGAACAGG
rnacentral:rRNA from 1 species